UCCAGACUCCUACGGGAGGCAGCAGUGAGGAAUAUUGGUCAAUGGCCGGAAGGCUGAACCAGCCAAGCCGCGUGAAGGACGAAGGUGCCAAGCAUUGUAAACUUCUUUUGUCAAGGGACAAAAUCAGGCUCGAGAGCCUGACCGAGGGUACUUGAAGAAAAAGCAUCGGCUAACUCCGUGCCAGCAGCCGCGGUAAUACGGAGGAUGCGAGCGUUAUCCGGAUUCACUGGGUGUAAAGGGAGCGUAGACGGCCAUGCAAGCCAGGGGUGAAAGCCCGGGGCCCAACCCCGGGACUGCCCUUGGAACUGCAUGGCUGGAGUGCGGGAGGGGCAGGCGGAAUUCCUGGUGUAGCGGUGAAAUGCGUAGAUAUCAGGAGGAACACCGGCGGCGAGGGCGGCCUGCUGGACCGCGACUGACGUUGAGGCUCGAAAGCGUGGGGAGCGAACAGGAUUAGAUACCCCGGUACC
rnacentral:rRNA from 1 species